GAUGAACGCUGGCGGCGUGCCUAACACAUGCAAGUCGAACGGACGGACGAUAAGCUUGUGUCUUUGCUGUUAGCGGCGGGCGGGUGAGUAACGCGUGGAUCCCCUACUUAUAUUUCGUGGAUGAUAUCGGGACGCCGGAUCUAAUACCAGCUGAUAUUUUGAACCGCAGGGUUCAAAAGAGAAUGACGGCCUUUGUGUCUCUACUAGCUGGUUCCGCGCUGUCUUAGCUAGUGGGUAAGGAAACGGCUUACCAAGGCUACGAUGCGUAGCCGACCUGAGAGGGUGAUCGGCCACACGGGAACUGAGACACGGUCCAGACUCCUACGGGAGGCAGCAGUAGGGAAUGUUAGGCAAUGGGCGCAAGCCUGACACAGCAAUGCCGCGUGAGUGAAGAAGGCCUUCGGAUCGUAAAGCCCUGUUAUUGGGGAAGAACAGAUGUGGAAUGAAACGUGGCUGUAGUGACGGUACCGAAUCAAAAAGCACCGGCUAACUACGUG
rnacentral:rRNA from 1 species